AGCUUGGCGAUUGGCCAACCGAGCGGUGGAAUCGUUCGAUUUCCGUCAACGUGUGGCCGCCGGUUGACCUUAGCUGUAGAUCUGAUGCUUUUCGCAAUGGUUCGAUGGAGCUGAGCAUCAGAUCUGUUUGGUCUUCAGAGAUUUGUUGAGGUUGGAUUAGUAGUUUGAGCAACCGAGGUGUUAUUUUACCGAGGCUUCCAACGUUGUUUUCUAGAGCUUUAUCGGUGAGCUAAAUAUGCUUAUUGGGUUUUGUUUAUUUGGAGAAGAUGUGUUAAGCAAUUUAUGUUUGUUGAAAACAAGCUAAUCCUUUUACAUAUUGCAGAUAUGAAUAGAGAUGCAAGGACUAUUGAAUCGGUGCUGCCGUUGUUUUGCAUCAAACGGUUUAGACUGGUAAUCUUCGAUCGAGGGUUGAAUCAGCUAGCGUGAUGGUGUAUUUAAGGUUAUAAUAGUUUAAUUUAUUGUCUACAAUUAUUUAAAUGGCUCAUUUGCAUUAGUUUUUAUUUAUUUAUUUAUGCAUAUGUACGCGAGGAUGAAAGAUUGAGCGACGUUGUGAGUUAUGAGAGGAAAAAUUGAGGUAUUUAUUGUCAUGUUAUCAGGCCUUUGCCAUGUUGGGUGCGCUCGCAUGGCAGGUCAAAAGUACAUUAUAAAAGUAUUCAUUUUGGGUGUUGGAGAGGAGAAGGCACGGGGUUUUGCCCGGCUCUGCUCUCUUUGCGUGUCUCGUGUCCUUUUUGGCUCUGCUCUUUCUUUUUUCCUGCGUCCAACAACUUUGCGUCGAUCAGUGGUUACUUGUCGUUGAAUAGGCCUUGUGAUUACUGUUGUGUAUUUUGAGGCGAGUCUUAUUCAAAGACAAGUAACUCAUGUUGAUUUGCUAUAUGCUCCACGGCGAUGGAUACAAGCAACGUUUCUACUGCAGCACGCCACUAGAGGUACAAUAUCAAUUCUCUUAGUUAAAGUUAACUAACAUUUUUUAUAACAUUUAUCAAUUCUAAACUGAUUGCCUUAAUUAUCACCUUCACUAACUUAUACUCGUAUAAAAGCUU
rnacentral:lncRNA from 1 species